rnacentral:lncRNA from 1 species
AAACAAACACUUCUGAAACCCCGUAUAGUUUUGCUAAUUGUAGAAUCAUACUUACACACCUUUUGGUUUUUCAUUAGGCUGAAAUCUGUGAGUGUUCCCAGGGACACAUCAUCCUGCAGGUCCCAAUCAGGUUCAAAUCCCCCCUUUUGACCCUGCUGCAGGUUGUUAUUUCUUUGUGUGGUAUAUGUGAUACAUGGACCAGAUAUGGUGUAUGACUGUCUGUCUCAUCUGAAUUACUGUGAAGUAAAAGGGAAGGAAGAGGCACUUUUUGUAAUGAAUUAUUUCACUGUGUGGAGAACUUGGUGUAGCACAGUGGUACAAACACUCUAGGACUUAAUGCAAAAACCUGAGGCUGGAAAAGGAAGCAAACAUCUCAAAGAAAGAAAGAAUUGAAAGUACUGAAGGAGAAAACUGCACAGUUCCUGUGAGCUUUUAUUUUGGAAGUAUACAGCUUCUUGAGCAAGCAAAAGAGAAGAGAAAAUGGUUUUAAAAGAUUUGGCAUGCAUCAAGUUGUUUGAAAUCACUCUACUACAAAAACAUUGUUUUCUUCCCUCACCGUUUUGUAGAGAUUUCAUGGCAUUUCAUUCACAGAUCCGUUGGAGUAGCUGUAAUUUCAUUCUCUGAUUUAAUACACCUUAGACAUGUGGUGAGAAAGGUGGUUUUUUGACUUUGAAGAAACAUCGUGGCAACAGACAAGCUCGUAUUUGGAAAUGGGAUCACUUUCUCAGUUAAAUCAAAAAGACAAGAAGAUUCUACACCAGAAGUCAUUGCACUUAAAUCAAAGGAAUGCAAACAAUAUGGCAAUGUAUCGAACGUAGCUUGUUUGGCAAGAACGUUGUACAAGAGCAUCAAUCUCGAUGGGCCCAAGGGUGUCAUUGCUUAUGAUCUGAAGGAACCUAUUCUCACAUCAGAGGGGAUGUACAGUACCUUGAAAGUAGUUGGCAUAAAACCAGACACAGAAGGAACCUGCAAAGCUGUGCACAAGGGGAACAAGACUGUAGCGAGCACAAUCCUGACAGGUACAAACGCAAACUGAUUCUGUUAGGUGACUCUUCCAAAACACUUUCUUGUUCUUUGAGAACUUAGCAGCAACAAGUUAAGUACAGUCAGAAAGAUGUUUAGGUGCUUAGUUAGGUGGAAAUCAGAUAUUCAGAAGAACCUAGUGUAAAUUAUCUUAAUUCAGCUUUAUAAGCACCUAGAGUUUUCGUCUCAAAACACAGAGGAAAAACAACUAACCAAACAACAAGAGCAACAACAAAAAACACCAAGCAGAAGCCAAAACCAAAUCUGGGUGUCUACUUUUAUCUACGGCAAAAUAGUUCAAGUCAUGAGUAUAUGUAUAACAGUAGAAAGUCUGAAAUAACUUAUGAAAACAAAAAGAAGUAAGAAGUUUGAUUUUUUGCUCUAAAUCUUUAGUUUAUUUUUAUUUUUUAUUUUUCUUAUGUGCAUUUGUGUGUAAAGUGCAUUUCAAAAAGGAGACAAAAUUCUCAACAAUCUUGCAGAUUUUUCUAGCAAUCACAUGUAAACAGCUAGUAUUUCUCUUCAUAUUAAUUUCAGAAUUAAUGACCUGCCUUUCGUCUGGUACUCUAAUUCUACUGCUGGGAAAUGGUAUAGGUGUGCUUUGAGUAAUUCUUGUUCAUCUGGUUUAGAAACAGUUUAUAGUGUCUCUCAAUCAUUCAACAGAAGGGAAAGAUGAAGAACUGGCAGCAGAGAAUGCUUGCAACUUUACAGACACCUUUAAAAAAGGUUAGUUACUUCAAACAGUAAUAUUGUCAAUGGGAGUGUCAACUUUACUGGGGAUUCAGUAGUAACAUAUGAAAAUGGUACAGAAAUGUCUGAAUUGUAGAUACUGGUUAAGCAAGAAGUUUCACUCGUUGUGGAUUCCAUAAAGAGACAUGAAAAAAAUGCUUCUUCUGGUGCAAAAAUGUCAGAUUACUUUACUGAGGAAUAACAUGCCAUUUCAAGUUAACAGGUUGAUAGAUGACAAAUUUCAAUGGGGAUAAAUCAACAAUGGGGAUUAAACUCUUUACCAGGCAGGCAUCUCCUCCACUUGUCUCUGAAUACAUUCCUUUGCCAUCUUUCCCUGUGUUCAUGUUUCCCCCUUUCAUCUAUGAUGUGUGAAUUUUCAUUUAUUUAUUUAUUUGGGUAAUGUAAGACCUCAAUCCGCAAUUGCUUCCAUCUUUUUUUUUUUUUUUUUCUUUUUUUUCUUUUUUUUUUUUUUUCAAGAUGACAAAAUGGAGAAAAUGAACAUGCUGUUCAUGGUUGUUUUGGGUUUGAGGGUCCUGCUGGCAAAAUGCAUCGCCUUCAACAUGCUCAUGAGUAUCUGUUCAUAUUCUGAGGUAGGAAAUACGAUCAUUCUGUCCUUGGGAGCAUAGGAGUCAGGUAAAGAAAGUGCAGACCAGUUGGCUUUGCAUCCUUUUGUAAACCCACAACAAGUUAUAUUUGCUUUUCCAUCUUCCACUGAACUAUUCGAUGUUUCCAGUUACUGAUUAAUUGGCUGCUUAUCAAGCAGCUAAUAGAUCAAGCUAGUCCCGAGUAUCUCAGAUUCUAUCAGUGGUAGAGCACGAAUUCUGGAGAAAAGUCCAGAUCAGCAUGGACUGUAAGGGAGUAAUCCUCAAACACAACAAAAAUGGGAAGGAAAACAAGGGAGGGAGAAUUGUGAAGAACAGGUAUCCAAAAUGACCAAAAAGAUUAUCCCAUCCAUUCCAAAUUAACGAAUCUCAUUACACAAAUAUUUCUCUUUCAGGUACUCGAUAAGUGAGCCAGCAGUGGGCUGAAGAAGAGAAGGAGAUAAUAGAUUGAAGUAUAACUUAAACUCUAUGGUUCAACUUUGCUGAUAAUAACCAUCUGAAGAAACAAGGAAGCAACCCCCCAUUCCCAGUUCCUGUAGAUUUGAUUAAGUCCCAUCACUUCAACAAGGUGUUCUUCAGUUAACAUCAUCUGAAAGCUAUCUUAGACUGUUAAUACUGCUGAACUCUUGCUUUUUUUUGGUUCCAUUAAUUGUCAAAACAACAAUUUGUUAUUUCUUAUUCCCAUAUGAAUUUUCCUUCAUCCUUAUGCUAAGCAUGAAUACUUUAUUUUCUCACAUCUCUUACUUUGCCCACUGCAUUUAAGUAUCCAAAUAUCCUAGUUUUGAAAGUGUUAAAACUGAGCUUACUUACUUACUAUGCUUUAAAAAUAAUAUCUCUAGUCAUAUUGCAUUACUGUCUACAGAAUCAAUGCCAUACUGCUUAGGGAUCCGUAAGCAUUGAGGAAAUAUUGUAUGGACUAAUUUUUAAAGACUUAACUAGUGGUAAUUUUCUAGAGUACAUAAACUCUAUUGAUCUCUACUGGACCUGAAAGAACUCACUCUAGUCAGAUUUAUAGUAGGACUUUCAUUUUUUUCUCUACUUCAGAACAUUUUUCUCUUCGUUAAAUAUGAAGACCCUGCAUUUUAGGUUUCCUUAAUAAAGGUCAAAAUAAAGUUUUAUUACA